rnacentral:rRNA from 4 species
GUGUGACUGCGUACCUUUUGUAUAAUGGGUCAGCGACUUAUAUUCUGUAGCAAGGUUAACCGAAUAGGGGAGCCGAAGGGAAACCGAGUCUUAACUGGGCGUUAAGUUGCAGGGUAUAGACCCGAAACCCGGUGAUCUAGCCAUGGGCAGGUUGAAGGUUGGGUAACACUAACUGGAGGACCGAACCGACUAAUGUUGAAAAAUUAGCGGAUGACUUGUGGCUGGGGGUGAAAGGCCAAUCAAACCGGGAGAUAGCUGGUUCUCCCCGAAAGCUAUUUAGGUAGCGCCUCGUGAAUUCAUCUCCGGGGGUAGAGCACUGUUUCGGCAAGGGGGUCAUCCCGACUUACCAACCCGAUGCAAACUGCGAAUACCGGAGAAUGUUAUCACGGGAGACACACGGCGGGUGCUAACGUCCGUCGUGAAGAGGGAAACAACCCAGACCGCCAGCUAAGGUCCCAAAGUCAUGGUUAAGUGGGAAACGAUGUGGGAAGGCCCAGACAGCCAGGAUGUUGGCUUAGAAGCAGCCAUCAUUUAAAGAAAGCGUAAUAGCUCACUGGUCGAGUCGGCCUGCGCGGAAGAUGUAACGGGGCUAAACCAUGCACCGAAGCUGCGGCAGCGACGCUUAUGCGUUGUUGGGUAGGGGAGCGUUCUGUAAGCCUGCGAAGGUGUGCUGUGAGGCAUGCUGGAGGUAUCAGAAGUGCGAAUGCUGACAUAAGUAACGAUAAAGCGGGUGAAAAGCCCGCUCGCCGGAAGACCAAGGGUUCCUGUCCAACGUUAAUCGGGGCAGGGUGAGUCGACCCCUAAGGCGAGGCCGAAAGGCGUAGUCGAUGGGAAACAGGUUAAUAUUCCUGUACUUGGUGUUACUGCGAAGGGGGGACGGAGAAGGCUAUGUUGGCCGGGCGACGGUUGUCCCGGUUUAAGCGUGUAGGCUGGUUUUCCAGGCAAAUCCGGAAAAUCAAGGCUGAGGCGUGAUGACGAGGCACUACGGUGCUGAAGCAACAAAUGCCCUGCUUCCAGGAAAAGCCUCUAAGCAUCAGGUAACAUCAAAUCGUACCCCAAACCGACACAGGUGGUCAGGUAGAGAAUACCAAGGCGCUUGAGAGAACUCGGGUGAAGGAACUAGGCAAAAUGGUGCCGUAACUUCGGGAGAAGGCACGCUGAUAUGUAGGUGAAGUCCCUCGCGGAUGGAGCUGAAAUCAGUCGAAGAUACCAGCUGGCUGCAACUGUUUAUUAAAAACACAGCACUGUGCAAACACGAAAGUGGACGUAUACGGUGUGACGCCUGCCCGGUGCCGGAAGGUUAAUUGAUGGGGUUAGCGCAAGCGAAGCUCUUGAUCGAAGCCCCGGUAAACGGCGGCCGUAACUAUAACGGUCCUAAGGUAGCGAAAUUCCUUGUCGGGUAAGUUCCGACCUGCACGAAUGGCGUAAUGAUGGCCAGGCUGUCUCCACCCGAGACUCAGUGAAAUUGAACUCGCUGUGAAGAUGCAGUGUACCCGCGGCAAGACGGAAAGACCCCGUGAACCUUUACUAUAGCUUGACACUGAACAUUGAGCCUUGAUGUGUAGGAUAGGUGGGAGGCUUUGAAGUGUGGACGCCAGUCUGCAUGGAGCCGACCUUGAAAUACCACCCUUUAAUGUUUGAUGUUCUAACGUUGACCCGUAAUCCGGGUUGCGGACAGUGUCUGGUGGGUAGUUUGACUGGGGCGGUCUCCUCCUAAAGAGUAACGGAGGAGCACGAAGGUUGGCUAAUCCUGGUCGGACAUCAGGAGGUUAGUGCAAUGGCAUAAGCCAGCUUGACUGCGAGCGUGACGGCGCGAGCAGGUGCGAAAGCAGGUCAUAGUGAUCCGGUGGUUCUGAAUGGAAGGGCCAUCGCUCAACGGAUAAAAGGUACUCCGGGGAUAACAGGCUGAUACCGCCCAAGAGUUCAUAUCGACGGCGGUGUUUGGCACCUCGAUGUCGGCUCAUCACAUCCUGGGGCUGAAGUAGGUCCCAAGGGUAUGGCUGUUCGCCAUUUAAAGUGGUACGCGAGCUGGGUUUAGAACGUCGUGAGACAGUUCGGUCCCUAUCUGCCGUGGGCGCUGGAGAACUGAGGGGGGCUGCUCCUAGUACGAGAGGACCGGAGUGGACGCAUCACUGGUGUUCGGGUUGUCAUGCCAAUGGCACUGCCCGGUAGCUAAAUGCGGAAGAGAUAAGUGCUGAAAGCAUCUAAGCACGAAACUUGCCCCGAGAUGAGUUCUCCCUGACUCCUUGA